rnacentral:rRNA from 1 species
AUGCCGCCGCCCCGCCGCGCCGGCGCGGGCGACACGAGCGCCUUCUUCGCGGCGACGCUGGUGCUGUGGGCCGUGUCGGUGGGGUUCGAGAUCGGCGCCCGGGGACGCCGCGAGCUGGCCGCCGUGGCCGCCGGCUUCGCCUUCUUCCAGGCCGCCAACACGGCCGUCCGCGCCGCGGUCUCCCGCGACCCGCUCUUCGUCAACACCGCCGUCUCGCUGCUCCACUCCUCCCUCACNNNNNNNNNNNUUAUCUUUGUUCUAUUGUGCCAAUGGCGUACCAAAGGCCUUGAGAACAUGUUUCAGCAUGAAGAAUUAGUUGGUAGCAGUUGGAUUGGAGCAUAUUCUGCUCUGUGCUUUUCAUGUGGCUACUUUGCUUAUGACCAAUUGGAUAUGCUCCGCUACCGGCUGUACAGUGGAUGGAUUCCUGGGAUUCUGAUGCAUCACCUUAUUCUGCUUAUUUGCUUUACGCUAGCUCUGUAUCGGAAUGUGACAAUCAACUACCUAAUUCUCACUCUUCUAUGCGAGAUGCACUCCAUAUUCUUGCACGUAAGGAAAUUGAGGAGAAUGGCUGGAUUCCGUGAUUUCAACAGAAAACUGGUGAAACUGGAAUGGGUACUCAACUGGACUACCUUUGUGACAGCAAGGGUGAUCUGCCACAUAUUGAUCACAUACAGACUGAUCACCGACGCACACAAGUUUGAUAAGGGCAUUGAGCUGCCACUAGCUCUUUCUGGUAUGGCGGGAAUGAAUGUGCUCAAUGUAUCUUUAGGGCUUGAUCUAUUUAAAGCAUUUGCGCGAGAGAGAAAUCAGCAGACGCAUCAGGACUGA